rnacentral:sRNA from 1 species
GGUUUAUUUUCCAGAUGCAAUCAAUGCCCCAGUCACCUGCUGCUAUAACUUCACCAAUAGGAAGAUUUCAGUGCAGAGGCUGGCGAGCUAUAGAAGAAUCACCAGCAGCAAGUGUCCCAAAGAAGCUGUGAUGUGAGUUCAGCACACCAACCUUCCCUGGCCUGAAGUUCUUCCUUGUGGAGCAAGGGACAAGCCUCAUAAACCUAGAGUCAGAGAGUGCACUAUUUAACUUAAUGUACAAAGGUUCCCAAUGGGAAAACUGAGGCACCAAGGGAAAAAGUGAACCCCAACAUCACUCUCCACCUGGGUGCCUAUUCAGAACACCCCAAUUUCUUUAGCUUGAAGUCAGGAUGGCUCCACCUGGACACCUAUAGGAGCAGUUUGCCCUGGGUUCCCUCCUUCCACCUGCCUUCCUCCUCUAGCUCCUAUGGCAGCCCGUUGGUGCAGAAUGGGCUGCACUUCUAGGCCUUCCUCCUUUAGCUCCCAUGGCAGCCCGUUGGUGCAGAAUGGGCUGCACUUCUAGGCCAAAACUGCAAAGGAACUUCAUCUAACUCUGUCCUCCCUCCCCACAGCUUCAAGACCAUUGUGGCCAAGGAGAUCUGUGCUGACCCCAAGCAGAAGUGGGUUCAGGAUUCCAUGGACCACCUGGACAAGCAAACCCAAACUCUGAAGCCUUGAACACUCACUCCAUAACCCAAGAAUCUGCAGCUAACUUAUUUUCCCCUAGCUUUCCCCAGAUACCCUGUUUUAUUUUAUUAUAAUGAAUUUUGUUUGUUGAUAUGAAACAUUAUGCCUUAAGUAAUGUUAAUUCUUAUUUAAGUUAUUGAUGUUUAAAGUUUAUCUUUCAUGGUACUAGUGUUUUUUAGAUAUAGAGACUUGGAGAAAUUGCUUUUCUUCUUGAACCACAGUUCUACCCCUGGGAUGUUUUGAGGGUCUUUGCAAGAAUCAUUAAUACAAAGAAUUUUUGUUUUAAUAUUCCAAUGCAUUGCUAAAAUAUUAUUGUGGAAAUGAAUAUUUUGUAACUAUUACAUAAAAUAAAUAUAUUUUUGUACAAAA